rnacentral:lncRNA from 1 species
GGCGUGUACCGGGUCUCGAGGCUUCCAUGGGGGUUGCCAGUUUCAAUCGGCCUUAUGCUUGGGCCUAGGAUGACCAUACUUGUUCCCUAUUUUCUGGAAGAUAUUUCCAUGCUGGGGACGGUUCCCGCGCCAACUUAUCAUUUGCUGCCUUUCCUUUCUUUCGCUCCUCCAUGAGUUGCAGCGGUUCCGUUAUGGCUGGCUUGGUGUGCUUCCUUAACGUCUGUACGCAUUUCACCUCACCCCACUUUGUCGUGGCAUCGUUUUCAUGGGCGGUUGUCGCAAGCGCCGUAUUCGGAUUUGCCUGUGAGACGUCUUUUUUGUGUUCCUCCACCCGUUUUCUUGUGGGCCUCGUCGUCAUUCCUGUGUGCGCUGGCCGCUCUUCGGUGGCAUCCGCUGGGGGAGUUUUGUGGGUCCCCUUUCGUUCGUUCUGCUCAU